rnacentral:lncRNA from 1 species
CUGCACCACCCUGGGGCGUUUUCAGGAACAUUGGCUCACCCUCUAUCAGUGUCAGUGAUAAUGCUGGGAUAAAACACCACAGGAUGCAGAAUGCUAAUGCUAAUCACAUGCUGCUGCUGAUACUGAUACCAAUAGCAACACUAAUGCCAAUAGUACCACCAACGCCAGUGCUAAUGCUAGUACUAAUGAGUGACAUAUGGAAUGAUUAUCAACUUGGAUGUUUGAGGAUUGGCAGCAUUAGCUCCACCACUGCAGAGUUCUGAAGGGGAGCACUGUCAUGCCUGAUGCAGGGGGACCACGCUGGUUGGAGACGCUGAAAUGGAAGGGGAGGGGGAAAAGAAGAUCGUGCCCACGUCAAACCCUCCAGGUGAAAAAACAAAGCAAAUCUGAAACGCAUUUUGCUUUUGGAGUAACAAAAAAGUAA